rnacentral:rRNA from 1 species
UAGAUACCCUGGUAGUCCACGCCCUAAACGAUGUCUACUAGUUGUCGGGUUUUAAUUAACUUGGUAACGCAGCUAACGCGUGAAGUAGACCGCCUGGGGAGUACGGUCGCAAGAUUAAAACUCAAAGGAAUUGACGGGGACCCGCACAAGCGGUGGAUGAUGUGGAUUAAUUCGAUGCAACGCGAAAAACCUUACCUACCCUUGACAUGGAAGGAAUCCCGAAGAGAUUUGGGAGUGCCCGAAAGGGAGC